rnacentral:lncRNA from 1 species
AGCUUUGGUUCAUAUUCAGUCAUCUCAGGAGAACUUCAGAAGAGCUUGAGUAGGCCAAAUGUUGAAGUUAAGUUUUCCAAUAAUGUGACUUCUUAAAAGUUUUAUUAAAGGGGAGGGGCAAAUAUUGGCAAUUAGUUGGCAGUGGCCUGUUACGGUUGGGAUUGGUGGGGUGGGUUUAGGUAAUUGUUUAGUUUAUGAUUGCAGAUAAACUCAUGCCAGAGAACUUAAAGUCUUAGAAUGGAAAAAGUAAAGAAAUAUCAACUUCCAAGUUGGCAAGUAACUCCCAAUGAUUUAGUUUUUUUCCCCCCAGUUUGAAUUGGGAAGCUGGGGGAAGUUAAAUAUGAGCCACUGGGUGUACCAGUGCAUUAAUUUGGGCAAGGAAAGUGUCAUAAUUUGAUACUGUAUCUGUUUUCCUUCAAAGUAUAGAGCUUUUGGGGAAGGAAAGUAUUGAACUGGGGGUUGGUCUGGCCUACUGGGCUGACAUUAACUACAAUUAUGGGAAAUGCAAAAGUUGUUUGGAUAUGGUAGUGUGUGGUUCUCUUUUGGAAUUUUUUUCAGGUGAUUUAAUAAUAAUUUAAAACUACUAUAGAAACUGCAGAGCAAAGGAAGUGGCUUAAUGAUCCUGAAGGGAUUUCUUCUGAUGGUAGCUUUUGUAUUAUCAAGUAAGAUUCUAUUUUCAGUUGUGUGUAAGCAAGUUUUUUUUUAGUGUAGGAGAAAUACUUUUCCAUUGUUUAACUGCAAAACAAGAUGUUAAGAGGCAUUUCAUCCUUCAUGAAGCCAUUCAGGAUUUUGAAUUGCAUAUGAGUGCUUGGCUCUUCCUUCUGUUCUAACUUCACAGAGAAUGCAGUUGUCUUGACUUCAGGUCUGUCUGUUCUGUUGGCAAGUAAAUGCAGUACUGUUCUGAUCCCGCUGCUAUUAGAAUGCAUUGUGAAACGACUGGAGUAUGAUUAAAAGUUGUGUUCCCCAA